GUGCCGCUGAUGUCAACACGUAAAGUGGUGAACGACGCCUCACUUUGGUGGAGGAGAUGAAUUGCAGGCUUUGCUUGAAAAUGGUAACAGCACCACGGAGAGCAGCUGAGCCUGAAGCCCAGAGGGCAGUCUCCAGAGACACGGAAGUUGAAGUAACAGUGAUAAACUUUCAUACAGGUUAUUAAGGUAAAUGACUUGAUUUUGUAUGCUUAAACCAUAAGCAAACUAACUUGUUGCUAAUGACCCCCAAACCAGCGAGGGCCUUUCAGAUUUAGCUAUAAAUAAUUUUAAAUGAUUUAAGUUUGACUUUGAAAUUUGUUUUAAUUUAGAAAUAAUGCCAUUAUACAUCUACUAGUGUUACAUGUCCUUAAUUUGGUAUCUAUGUCCACAACAAUAAUUUAUGGUGCACAAUCCAUCCUUCCUGCUGAUUGAAUCUGCCGCAAACUUUUUGGCAUACUGUAACUGUUUGAAAAUAAAAAUCUCAAUCAAAA